UUACCCAGACAUUGGAUGGAACGUUUUACUCAUUUAGCAAGAGACAGAGCAGGUUUAGCCUUCAUAGUAAGCCUCGGUCCCCCAUGGCUAUUGCCUCUUCUCCACAAACUUCAUGUACUGCAGACGAACAAGCAAAGACCCCACAAGGCUAAUUUUCAGAGCUAGUAAAUGAGAGAAGAGAAUACAAGGAAAAUGAAGAAAGACAAAAUAUUAGCAUCUCUGACAUUUACAGAAUAGAUGGGAGAGAAGAACCUGGAGGAAAGCUGUAAAGGGUACAUCAGAGAGUGCCUAUCUUGAGGAUUGGAACAUACGUAGUGGAUAUUCUAUUGUAUUUGCUGAGAGAUUGAUGGAAUCAAUGAUAAAUGAGAAACAAAGGUCAUAAUGUGUCCAGAAUUGGUG
rnacentral:lncRNA from 1 species